UGGGGAAUUUUCCGCAAUGGGGGCAACCCUGACGGAGCAACGCCGCGUGCGGGAGGAAGGCCUUUGGGUUGUAAACCGCUUUUCUCAGGGAAGAAGCUCUGACGGUACCUGAGGAAUCAGCCUCGGCUAACUCCGUGCCAGCAGCCGCGGUAAUACGGAGGGUGCGAGCGUUAAUCGGAAUUACUGGGCGUAAAGCGCGCGUAGGUGGUUUGGUAAGUCGGAUGUGAAAGCCCAGGGCUUAACCUUGGAAUUGCAUUCGAUACUGCUGAACUAGAGUAUGGUAGAGGGAAGUGGAAUUUCCGGUGUAGCGGUGAAAUGCGUAGAUAUCGGAAGGAACACCAGUGGCGAAGGCGACUUCCUGGGCCAAUACUGACUCUGAGGUGCGAAAGCGUGGGGAGCAAACAGGAUUAGAUACCCCGGUAGUCC
rnacentral:rRNA from 1 species